ensembl:snRNA U1 U1 spliceosomal RNA
AUACCUACCUGGCAGGGGAGAUACCAUGAUCACGAAGGCGGUUUUCCCAGGGCCAGGCUUAUCCGUUGCACUCUGGAUGGCUGACCCCUGCAAUUUCCCCAAAUGUGGGAAACUCGACUGCAUAAUUUGUGGUAGUGGGGGACUGUGUUUGUGCUUUCCCCUG